GAUCGGAUCAAGCGCGAGAAGGGCGUUUGGUGGAUGCCUUGGCAGCAAGAGGCGAUGAAGGACGUGAUACCCUGCGAUAAGCUUUGGGGAGCCGGGAAUAGGCUUUGAUCCAAAGAUCUCCGAAUGGGGCAACCCACCUGAAGCUCUGCCGUUGUCUUCCUUCCGGAAGCCAACGGUUGGGCUAACCAGGUAUCUUGAGACUGAAUACAUAGGUCACAAGAAGCGAACCCGGGGAACUGAAACAUCUCAGUACCUGGAGGAAAGGACAUCAAUAGAGACUCCGCUAGUAGUGGCGAGCGAACGCGGACCAGCCGAGCCAGGAGAGUGACCAGAACCGUCUGGGAAGACGGGCCGGAGCGGGUGACAGCCCCGUAUGGGAAGCUCGAAUGGACGCAUUAAGUAGGGCGGGACACGUGAAAUCCUGUCUGAAGAUCGGGGGACCACCCUCGAAGGCUAAGUACUCCUUGCUGACCGAUAGCGAACCAGUACCGUGAGGGAAAGGUGAAAAGCACCCCGACGAGGGGAGUGAAACAGUUCCUGAAACCGGACGCCUACAAGCAGUCGGAGCCUCCUUGAGGGGUGACGGCGUACCUUUUGUAUAAUGGGUCAUCGACUUGGUCUCACGAGCGAGCUUAAGCCGGUAGGUGGAGGCGGAGCGAAAGCGAGUCUUAAUAGGGCGUUUUAGUUCGUGGGAUCAGACCCGAAACCGAGUGAUCUAGCCAUGGCCAGGCUGAAGGCUGGGUAACACCAGCUGGAGGGCCGAACCCACACCUGUUGAAAAAGGUCGGGAUGAGCUGUGGCUAGGGGUGAAAGGCUAAUCAAACUCGGAGAUAGCUGGUUCUCUGCGAAAUCUAUUUAGGUAGAGCGUCAGACGAAUGCCCUCGGGGGUAGAGCACUGGAUGGGUGAUGGGGUCCCACAGACUUACUGAGCCUAACCAAACUCCGAAUACCGAGGAGCACUAUCUGGCAGACACACGGCGGGUGCUAACGUCCGUCGUGGAGAGGGAAACAACCCUGACCUCCAGCUAAGGCCCCCAAUUCACGGCUAAGUGGGAAAGCAGGUGGGACGACCAAAACAACCAGGAGGUUGGCUUAGAAGCAGCCAUCCUUUAAAGAUAGCGUAACAGCUCACUGGUCUAGACAAGUUGUCCUGCGGCGAAGAUGUAACGGGGCUCAAGCCGUGAGCCGAAGCUGAGGAUGCAUCGCAAGAUGCGUGGUAGCAGAGCGUGGUGUGACAUAGUCCCCUGUCUCUUCUGCAGGCUCGACCUGCAGGGGAGACGCGGGGCUUUCGAUGAAGCCGGGGCGUGAGCCAUCCGGUGGAGAGAUCACCAGCGAGAAUGAUGACAUGAGUAGCGACAAAGGGGGUGAGAGACCCCCUCGCCGAAAGUCCAAGGGUUCCUGCUUAAAGCUAAUCUGAGCAGGGUGAGCCGACCCCUAAGGCGAGGCCGACAGGCGUAGUCGAUGGGAACCGGGUUAAUAUUCCCGGGCCAGGAGGAUGUGACGGAUCGCAGAGCUAGUUUGCCCUUAUCGGAUUGGGCGGGCUGGUGAGCGGUUCCUGGAAAUAGCCCUCCGUAAGAUCGUACCCUAAACCGACACAGGUGGACUGGUAGAGAAUACCAAGGCGCUUGAGAGAACGAUGUUGAAGGAACUCGGCAAAAUACCUCCGUAAGUUCGCGAGAAGGAGGCCCGUCUUGUGCGCAAGCAUGGGGCGGGGGCACAAACCAGGGGGUGGCGACUGUUUACUAAAAACACAGGGCUGUGCGAAGCCGCAAGGCGACGUAUACAGUCUGACGCCUGCCCGGUGCUGGAAGGUUAAAGGGAGGGGUGCAAGCUCCGAACUGAAGCCCCAGUAAACGGCGGCCGUAACUAUAACGGUCCUAAGGUAGCGAAAUUCCUUGUCGGGUAAGUUCCGACCUGCACGAAUGGCGUAACGACUUCCCCGCUGUCUCCAACAUCGACUCAGCGAAAUUGAAUUGCCCGUGAAGAUGCGGGCUUCCCGCGGUUAGACGGAAAGACCCCAUGCACCUUUACUCUAGCUUCGCACUGGCAUCAGGAUUGCGAUGUGCAGGAUAGGCGGUAGGCUUUGAAGCGGGGACGCCAGUUCCCGUGGAGCCGUCCUUGAGAUACCGCCCUUCGCCAUCUUGAUGUCUAACCGCGGUCCGUUAUCCGGAUCCGGGACCCUGCGUGGUGGGGAGUUUGACUGGGGCGGUCGCCUCCCAAACUGUAACGGAGGCGCGCGAAGGUUGGCUCAGGGCGGUCGGAAAUCGCCCGUUGAGUGCAAUGGCAUAAGCCAGCCUGACUGCGAGACUGACACGUCGAGCAGAGUCGAAAGACGGCCAUAGUGAUCCGGUGGUCCCGCGUGGAAGGGCCAUCGCUCAACGAAUAAAAGGUACGCUGGGGAUAACAGGCUGAUACUGCCCAAGAGUCCAUAUCGACGGCAGUGUUUGGCACCUCGAUGUCGGCUCAUCUCAUCCUGGGGCUGGAGCAGGUCCCAAGGGUAUGGCUGUUCGCCAUUUAAAGAGGUACGUGAGCUGGGUUUAGAACGUCGUGAGACAGUUCGGUCCCUAUCUUCCGUGGGUGCAGGAGACUUGAGAGGAGUUGCCCCUAGUACGAGAGGACCGGGGUGAACGUUCCACUGGUGGACCGGUUGUCGUGCCAACGGCAGUGCCGGGUAGCUAUGAACGGACAGGAUAACCGCUGAAGGCAUCUAAGCGGGAAGCCCCCCUCGAAACCAGGUCUCCCUGAGGACCGUGGCAGACCACCACGUCGAUAGGCCGGAGAUGCACGCGCAGCAAUGCGCUCAGUUGACCGGUACUAAUCGUCCGAUAGGCUUGAUCCGAUCCAG
rnacentral:rRNA from 1 species